rnacentral:misc_RNA from 1 species
UGGUUCUGGCAUNGAUGAAGAACGCAGCGAAAUGCGAUAAGUAAUGUGAAUUGCAGAAUUCAGUGAAUCAUCGAAUCUUUGAACGCACAUUGCGCCCCUUGGUAUUCCGAGGGGCAUGCCUGUUCGAGCGUCAUUACAACCCUCAAGCACAGCUUGGUUUUGGGCCUGGUUCUCAUCAACCGGCUUUAAAAAUAGUGGCGGUGCCGCGUGGCUCUAAGCGUAGUAAAUACCUCGCUCUAGGGUCAAGUGAGCCCUUGCCAUCAACCCAAAUUUUCUAUGGUUGACCUCGGAUCAGGUAGGGAUACCCGCUGA